rnacentral:tRNA from 1 species
ACUUAUAUAGUAUAAAUAUUAUUAUCGACUUCCAAUUGAUAGAUCUAAAUAACUUAGUAUAAGUA